GAAAUUGAACUCACUUGUGUCCUUGUCGGUGUUCGCGUCGCUGAUCUAUGACUGACUCACGUCCGGCGAACGCUAGCCGCGGCCAAGGGUCAUCACACUCCCAGCCAUAGCCGUUGGCCUCGCCUAGGGCUUGGCAUCCGGCUCUCUCUGCUGGCCAAGCCCCAGCACCGGAUCUCGUCCAUCCGUGGCCGCUCCCAUCGAUGGCAAGCUCCGCCAGCCGGUCUGCAUCUCCCUCUUCGGGCGUCGGCCGUCUCCAUCCUCCAGCCGCCGAGCUUCCCCCUGCAUGGACGCGUCUGCGAUGGUCUUCUCCCAUGGACUGAACGUCCAUCCCCCUGCAGCUUGGCCAGGGCACGCCCUCUGUUGGGUCCGCCAGCGAUGAGCGCCGGGAAGGGAGGGUGGGGGGCAUCGCCCAAACUUCACCUCUGAGCCCCUGCAUCAGGUUCCUGACAGCGAAAGCCUAGCACCUGCUGCAACCUACCUGCUCGAUGGAAUGCUCAACCUCUCGCCGGAUCUGUGCAGCUCUUACGCGAUGUCGUUGAACCCGCUAGUUGUUGACACUGCUCCUCGUGCAUCGCUUAUUCGACAAAAAUCCCAAGCCCAUGGACAGCACACGCGACAUGCGCAACCCAAAUCCGAUCGACCAGGUUGUUCGAUGUGUGUGUGUUUUUCUAUCGCUUAUGUGUGUGAUUUGUAGUUUGUUCUAAAUAUGUUCUGGUCGAUGCAGUGUAUAUAUGUGUUUGAAUAUGUUUAGGGGUGAAUGGAAGUGUGUGGAGAAAGAUAGUUAAGUAAAAAGGGAUUAGGAUGUUCAUAUGUUUCCGAUCGUUGUUAGAAGUAAAAUUGAUACAAAGGUUAGGUUGGAAUGUGCGGAUCCGUGUGAUGAACGCAUUUGUUACCUAUGUAUAAAAUAUAUGGUCGAGUAAAUGAAUCGAAUAAUGAGUUAUUUUGUCA